rnacentral:rRNA from 1 species
CGUGUGGGCGGCCAAACAGGUCCGUUGUGAAAACUGGAGGCUCAACCUCCAGACGUCGACGGAAACCGUAUGGCUAGAGUCCGGAAGAGGAGAGUGGAAUUCCUGGUGUAGCGGUGAAAUGCGCAGAUAUCAGGAAGAACACCAAUGGCGAAGGCAGCUCUCUGGGACGGUACUGACGCUGAGACGCGAAAGCGUGGGGAGCGAACA